rnacentral:rRNA from 1 species
GGCGGCUAGCCUUAACUUUGAAUUCUGGGCCAAUUGUAAUCUCAUAAGCCUGGGUAUCCCGGGGUUAGCGGCGGACGGGUGAGUAACACGUGGGUAACCUGCCCAUAAGACUGGGAUAACUCCGGGAAACCGGGGCUAAUACCGGAUAACAUUUUGAACUGCAUGGUUCGAAAUUGAAAGGCGGCUUCGGCUGUCACUUAUGGAUGGACCCGCGUCGCAUUAGCUAGUUGGUGAGGUAACGGCUCACCAAGGCAACGAUGCGUAGCCGACCUGAGAGGGUGAUCGGCCACACUGGGACUGAGACACGGCCCAGACUCCUACGGGAGGCAGCAGUAUGGAAUCUUCCGCAAUGGACGAAAGUCUGACGGAACAACGCCGCGUGAGUGAUGAAUGCUUUCGGGUCGUAAAACUCUGUUGAUGGGGAAAAACAAGUGCUGAUUGAAUAAGCUGGCCCCUUGACGGUACCUAACCUGAAAGCCGCGGCUAACUACGUGCCAGCAGCCGCGGGUAAU